UCAGCUCCGUUUCACAGAUUUUUCAACCUUCGUCAAAAAUCUCCACCGAACCAGCGACACUUUCGGGCUGUAAUUCAACUUAAAACGAAUUUCUGUGCACAGAAUGUUCUGGAAUCCGGUUAAAGUGGAAGAAAAGACGUGGUUUCUGUGAAAGUUUCGCUAAAUUUACGGCUUCCGGCGGGAAAUUUGAUGGUUAAAGUUGACGUCGGUGUAACGAGGAUUAGUGUUGACCGACCGAACAUGUGCUGAGAUGCCUUCCUACAGCUUUCUGGAUAACUUGGAGCUUUUUAUCCGGACAGGAAAGUUUCCUGGAAAUGCUUCAACAAGCUCAAAGAAAGUGACCAAAGCUGCCAGCAAACACUUCCUCUACAAAGAUGGCUCUCUGUGGCGAACUUAUCGAGGCCGCCUCCUCCGUGUCGUCAGGAGCGACGAGGAGGUUCGGGACAUCCUGCUGCGUUACCAUGACAACAACAACCACGCUGGCCGAGUUCGGAUGGUGAAGGAGAUCAUGCUCUUGUAUUAUUGGGUCGGAGUGACGGAGGCCGUGAAGAAGUGGAUCAAAGCCUGCACCGUCUGUCAGAACCGACCUCGCCCCGAACCUCUGGACCCGCCCGUCCACUUCUGCCUGGUUUACGGCUGCGAUGCCUCCAGUUACGUUCACCCCGAGCUCAGCUUCCACAGGUUUCCAAAGGAGGCGGAGAGGCGGCGGACGUGGCUGGCGGUGGCUCAGAGGGACGAAGGUUCGCUCAGAUCAAACUCCUACAUCUGCUCACGACACUUUGACUCAUCCUGCUUCAACCUGAGCGACGAAGGUCAACGGAUGCUGUCAUCAGACGCUGUACCGACCAUCGUACCGCAAACUACUAAAGAGGACGAGGUGGUUGUCCCUUCAGAGGAUGAAUUUCUUCCCUCCAACACCCUGGAAGACCUUCUGUCGAUAGCUGCUGCUGCAGAAACCCCAGAAUCCUCUGGUCCGGCCUUAGAAGCCCCAGUGGGGCUGCAGGAACACCAGUACUGCCUCCCAGCUCCUGAUCCAGACUCCAUGGAGGUCCAGACGGUGAGGGACCUCAAGAAGAGGAAGACCAUCGUGGAGCCAAGCUUCUCCACUUACAACCAUAUUGCCAGGUAUCUGAGCCACCGAGUCUUACCUCUGCAGAGCAAGAGAAGCAGAGGGGCUUUAAAACGGAUGUCCAAGCGCUUCGGCCUGAUAGACGGAGAGCUGAUGUACACCAGAGUAUCUCCACCUGUCAGAGUCCCACGCAGCAGAGAGGAGGUAAACUCCAUCCUGCAGCAGUUCCAUGAUAACCAGGGUCACUACGGUCAGGGAAUCUGCCAGCGAGAGAUCUCCAAACACUUCUACUGGGCCAGCAUGAGCUGCGACUUAUCCACCUGGAUCUCCAGCUGCAACACCUGCCUCACCAGGAGCAAGAGAAAGUGGCUUCGCUGCAGCGUCAUCAGCUGCAGCAACUGCUGCGGGCCGGUGGAGCGAGGCCUUGGACUCACCUUCCACAGGUUUCCUCUCCAUGACGCCGCCCUGCUGGCUCGCUGGCUGAAGGCCGUCGGACGUUCUAACUGGCUUCCUCGGCUGCGGUCGUCCGUCUGUUCCACUCAUUUCACUGAGGACUGCUUGGACCGGCGUGGGGAGAAGGUGGUCCUCCGUCCAGAUGCUGUUCCUACCCUCAUGGUCCACGGAGACUCGAUGACAUCCAGAGGUCAGAACCAGCCUGCAGGACAGGAGGAGGCCUUCUUUGCCAAAUACGACGCCGUGGAGCUUUACCUGAGCAGACGCACCUAUCCGCCCGGACUGAGCUACGUGGAGAAGAACACCUUCAGGAGGUUCUGCAAGAAAUUCACCAUGAAAGACGACAAGCUUCACUCCACCAGAGGAGAUCGACUGCGUUUGGUUCUGAGGAGUCGGCAGCAGGUUGAAGCCGCUCUGACCGAUUACCAUGACGAGCUCAAUCACCUGGACGUCAACAAAUGUCUGCGGCUGCUCAACGAGAGGUAUUUCUGGAAAACCAUGAAAUCGGAUGUGAUCCAGUGGAUCGACGGCUGCUUCCAGUGCAGCAGGAAGAAGAACCCGGAGACGCUGCUGCACGCGCUCAGAUCUCCUCCAAUCAGCAGCGUCAAAGACGACCAGACCGAUGAUGCUGAUGAAGGAGAGAACAGUGAAGGAGACAGCGAACGGCUGAAUUCAGACACAGAGGAUGGACCUUCAACCCCCAUCAGCCCUCAGACCAGGAUCCCCAUCCUCCUCCACCUGAGAACUCCCAUCAGCCUCCAGUCCAGGACUCCCAGCGCCCCCCUUGUUUCCAGACCAUUGUCUGUCCAGAGCAGGUCUGAGAGCCACGUUCAGGUCCAGGAUCCAGAAGAAGACCAGAGAGAAUGCAGCAGCUCUCAGUGUGUCCGACCUGCUGCAGAUCCUCCUCCAGAGAAAACUCACCGUCCAGGUGAACCACAGGCUCAGAUCCCAGCACAGAACCGGUCCAGAGUUCAGCACCCAGCAGAGACCAGGAGAACCAGUGGUCUGGAGCCCGUCGUGGCCCCGAGUAACAAACCCUGGCCGGUCUUCACCAUCGCUGGUAAAACCCUGGCAAAGACAGGAAGACCAGGUGCUGAGGUGGACAGCUCGUCGGCGUUCCGGAGCUGCAGCAGGCUUCAGGCUCGGACCGUCAUCCAGCAGUGCAGCUCGGCCAAGGUGAAGAUCCGACCAGCUCUGGAUGGAGGAGACGCUCAGUGGGCCGAGAUCCAGGAGGGAAUCGUUGUCUACGUUUGUUUUUUCCACGGAGCCACUGAAAAUGUCACAUAUCAGAUGGCCAACAGUCUGAUGAACACCAAGUUCUUCCGGAGGGACCGUGGACACUCGGUGUCGCUGCUCGACCUCCCCGGCAGCGUUCUGUUGGUCCCCCAGGACUCGCUGCUGGCCGAGCCGCCGGUCCGGAGGAGGAUCCGGUUCAGAGGCGGCUGUGAGCUCUGGAGAGCCGCUCAGCUGCUGUCCGGCCUGGCGUCGGCCUGCAGGGAGCUCAUGGCAGCCUCCAACAAAUGCACCGAGGCGGGAGUGAAGGUGGAGCAAGGCGUCUACGGACAGAAACAGGAGAUGGUCCUAAAGGCCGAGGAGCCGCUGACGCUGCUGCUGGACUUCUGAGCUUCAGCAGCUUCUGGAGAACAAACGGGAGCUUGUCGGGUUCCAGCUUUCAGACAGCAGCAGAUGGAGAUGAUCAGAGUCCUGAGCAGCAGUGGACUGAGAUCACCCAAUCACAGAAGAAAAUCUUUAUUUUGUUCAGCCAAUAGGAAACUAGCACCACUUCUAACCUCUGAUUGGAUGGGCAGACUGCAGUCAACCUCUCAGAGCUUCCAAUGGUAGUAAAAGUGCAAAGAGAAAUCCCAGGAGCUGCUGUUCCUCCUGUACUGAUGGAACGCGAGUCUAAGCCAGCUGAGCGAACAUCUGAACCACUGCUGGACCUUCAGGCUCUUCUGAACAUCUGAACCACUGCUGGACCUUCAGGCUCUUCUUCUGAACAUCUGAACCACUGCUGGACCUUCAGGCUCUUCUUCUGAACAUCUGAACCACUGCUGGACCUUCAGGCUCUUCUGAACAUCUGAACCACUGCUGGACCUUCAGGCUCUUCUUCUGAACAUCUGAACCACUGCUGGACCUUCAGGCUCUUCUUCUGAACAUCUGAACCACUGCUGGACCUUCAGGCUCUUCUUCUGAACAACUGAACCACUGCUGGACCUUCAGGCUCUUCUUCUGAACAUCUGAACCACUGCUGGACCUUCAGGCUCUUCUUCUGAACAUCUGAACCACUGCUGGACCUUCAGGCUCUUCUUCUGAACAUCUGAACCACUGCUGGACCUUCAGGCUCUUCUUCUGAACAUCUGAACCACUGCUGGACCUUCAGGCUCUUCUUCUGAACAUCUGAACCACUGCUGGACCUUCAGGCUCUUCUUCUGAACAUCUGAACCACUGCUGGACCUUCAGGCUCUUCUGAACAUCUGAACCACUGCUGGACCUUCAGGCUCUUCUUCUGAACAUCUGAACCACUGCUGGACCUUCAGGCUCUUCUGAACAACUGAACCACUGCUGGACCUUCAGGCUCUUCUUCUGAACAUCUGAACCACUGCUGGACCUUCAGGCUCUUCUUCUGAACAACUGAACCACUGCUGGACCUUCAGGCUCUUCUUCUGAACAACUGAACCACUGCUGGACCUUCAGGCUCUUCUUCUGAACAUCUGAACCACUGCUGGACCUUCAGGCUCUUCUGAACAACUGAACCACUGCUGGACCUUCAGGCUCUUCUUCUGAACAUCUGAACCACUGCUGGACCUUCAGGCUCUUCUUCUGAACAUCUGAACCACUGCUGGACCUUCAGGCUCUUCUUCUGAACAUCUGAACCACUGCUGGACCUUCAGGCUCUUCUUCUGAACAUCUGAACCACUGCUGGACCUUCAGGCUCUUCUUCUGAACAUCUGAACCACUGCUGGACCUUCAGGCUCUUCUUCUGAACAUCUGAACCACUGCUGGACCUUCAGGCUCUUCUGAACAACUGAACCACUGCUGGACCUUCAGGCUCUUCUUCCCAGCACGCCAUCCAACACCUCCUUCCUUCUAACCUUCCAGUCCCUGCAGGGACCAACAGUUUCUCUGAUUCUUCUCGUCUUGGUGUCUCGUGGCUUCUGUUCCCGAGUCAAGGACCCGUCUUCUUCGUGCUCCUAGAAGCAGACUUGUUUUCCCAGCUGCUGUCGGCCACCUCAGUCUCCUUCCCAGACACAGUCGCAUUCUUUCAGAGGGUUUCUCUGUCGCAUGGCGGUGAUGACGGUGAUCCUGUUCUCGGAAAGCUGUCGAAGCUCGUCAAUCAGCUCCCGGACGCAGGGACUGGGCCACGGGUGACCGUUGAGGUAGUCUCUGAGGAUGAAAGAUCGCUCCACCAGCAGCUCCAGCUGCACCAGGUGUCGCAGUCGGUGGAGGCUCAGCAGGUCCUUCUCUGGUUCCCGGCGGAAAAAUCUGGGAGACAAGGCAGAGCAGACUUUAAUAGUGGGAAACCAGCGUGAAACAUCGGUGCAGUUCACAUGAAAAGAAGAACUCUAAAAGUCUGUGAACUGCUGUCAUGGCCCAUAAACACACAUGGACUUCACCUGGACUGUAGAAGUAUCUUUGGAGCUCCAAGCAGCUUCCACAAGAUGUGAUUCCAACAGGAAUCCUUUUAAUGCUUCUGACUGACUGAAGCUCUUUUUACAAACUGCAUUCUCAUCCUUGGACACAGAUUUUCCAAAGGUUGAUGGUUUUCCUCACAGUCUGAGAUUCAGCAUCAGGGCAACACCUGGAACAUCUAUGUCCAGGAGAAGUCUCAACUGGAUUCUCUAUUAUUUGCCAGAUUUUCUCUUUUAUAAAUAAAUCAUUUGAGGAAAUGACUAUGAGAUGAUGAGGUCGACCGGUUCAUGCAGUUUACUGUGAGAUGCUGGAUUCUUUACCGUAUCCGUAGAGUCCUGAGUUCUGGGAACAGCAUGGGGAUCCGUCUGCAGAGGCUGCCGCUGGACCGGUUCUGUUCAAUGUCCAGGUGCUCCAGUCCUGGGACUUUGGGUGCGAUGGAGUCCAUGUCCUUGAGCGUUAUGGCGACUCGCAGCGUCAGCCUGGUCACGCUGGAUGGGAUGGUGGUGGUGUAGGUCGCCAGAGAGUUUCCACCUGAUGGGAGAAAGAACAAGAAGCUGGUUUAGAUCUGAAGCUUUUAGAUCAUCGAUAAAUAAAAUCCUAUGAAGUCCUUCUAGCUGUGUCACAGAAGAUGUUCCUAAGUUCUCUCUGGAGUUGCAGGACUUCAGACUCCUGAACUCACCGAUGAUGGUGAGCAUCUCCAGCUGCUUCAGAGGACUCAGCCACGACCGAAGGCGACAGGUGAUGCCUUCUCUGAUGUACCUGUACCGGACCGUCAGCGAGCGCAGCGACGUCAGACUCCUCAGAGCAUUCUCUGGCAGGAUGGUUUCUGGGUAAUCCACCAGCUCCAGACUGGUCAGGGCCGGGCCGCCGUACCAGUCCGGUCCUACUGUACCAAAGAGUCUGGUUAGGGCAGUGUUUCUCAAAUAGUGGGGCGCGCCCCCCUGGGGGGGCACAGAGGCAUGUCAGGGGGGGCGCAGGAGACCGGGAGGAAAAGGUUCUUCAACACGGAACUAAUGAGCUGAACUAUUGUUUUAACGUCAGCCUGUUUUUCGUGGCGUACAACAAUACUGAAAUUGUGCUGGCCUAUAGACUGUAUAUGCCAUAGAUAUAAAAAAAAUAUUAAUAACAAUGAUCUUCUGUAUAUAUCUAUGGUAUAUGCACUGGCCGUUCAGACCCCGAAGUACAGACUCCAGAGAACGGGAGAACGCAUCGUUAAUGUGCAGUCGGAACACCAGCGUACUUGAUCACGUCACGUACUCUGCUCAUCUCCUCUGAUUAUUUUUACUAGCAAUGUCAAACAUACAGCCUGUGGGCCAAAACCGGCCCACCAGACGACUUUACAAAUGAUAAAACUUACAACAACAUUAACUGUAAAUUGCAAAUUUGUAAAACUGUAAAUUUAAAAUAAUUUCUAGAACUUGACAAGUUGUUCUGAUCAUGAAGUAAAAUACUAGAUUGUUCAGUUCCAGAUACCUGUGACUGAAUGUUUUGUGUUUUUGUAGAUAAACUGUUAUCUGGCAGUUACAAUGCAUGUGUAAAUGAUGAACUGAGGCAUAAUAGGCUACUGUUGAAACUGAACUUGUUUUCCUUAAGAAAUUUCAGGUUCAUAAUAUUUUGUAAAAAGAUAGUUCAUUAAAUGUGAACAUUUUCAGAAUGUACUUUUUUUUUAACUAAAACAAAGGGGAAGAGUUGGAGUUGUGGUUAUUUAUAGGUUAUUAUGCUGUGAUUUUACUGGUGGGGCCCACUGGAGAUCAGAUUGGAUUUAUGUGGUCCCUGGACUAAAAUGAGACCCCUGAUCUUUACUGUGAAAAACAACAAAAUGGAAUCAGAUAAAAUAACACAGCCCUGCAUA